UACGAAGGGGGCUAGCGUUGCUCGGAAUUACUGGGCGUAAAGCGCACGUAGGCGGCUCGUUAAGUCGGAGGUGAAAUCCUGGAGCUCAACUCCAGAACUGCCUUCGAUACUGAUGAGCUCGAGUUCGGGAGAGGUGAGUGGAACUGCGAGUGUAGAGGUGAAAUUCGUAGAUAUUCGCAAGAACACCAGUGGCGAAGGCGGCUCACUGGCCCGAUACUGACGCUGAGGUGCGAAAGCGUGGGGAGCAAACAGGG
rnacentral:rRNA from 1 species